UGACAAGGAGGGGAUGUGCCACUGCCCCACAGCCUCACUGCCACAGCUCAUGGAUCCUCAACAAGAAGAGCAAGCAGAUGUGGCCACAGCCAUGGGGUUUGCACCAUCUGGGGCUCAGCAGAGAAGAUCCUUGUGAUGUUGAAGCUGCUCUAUGGACGUGAAAAGAUCUGUCUUCAUCACAGAAGAAAAGCCUUAGAUACAGAGCCAGAGCCUCCAAGUACUUCACAAAUACAUAGACUUAGAGAAUGGCUUGGAUUGGAAGGGACCUGAAAGGCCAUUCAGACUCUACCCCCUGCCAUGGGCUGCUCGUCAUCCACCAGCUGAGGCUGCCCAGGGCUCCAUCCAGCCUGGCCUUGAACACCUCCAGGGAUGGGGCACACACACAGCUCUCUGGACAGCUGUGCCAGUGCCUCACCACCCUCUGAAUAAAGGAUUUCUAAC
rnacentral:lncRNA from 7 species